CUACGGGCUGCUGCAGUGGGGAAUAUUGCACAAUGGAGGAAACUCUGAUGCAGCAACGCCGCGUGGAGGAUGACACUUUUCGGAGCGUAAACUCCUUUUAUAUAGGAAGAAGAUGACGGUACUAUAUGAAUAAGCGCCGGCUAACCCCGUGCCAGCAGCCGCGGUAAUACGGAGGGCGCAAGCGUUACUCGGAAUCACUGGGCGUAAAGAGCGUGUAGGCGGAUUAAAAAGUCAGAAGUGAAAUCCUAUAGCUUAACUAAAGAACUGCUUCUGAAACUCUUAAUCUAGAAUAUGGGAGAGGUAGAUGGAAUUUCUGGUGUAGGGGUAAAAUCCGUAGAGAUCAGAAGGAAUACCGAUUGCGAAGGCGAUCUACUAGAACAUUAUUGACGCUGAGACGCGAAAGCGUGGGGAGCAAACAGGAUUAGAUACCCCAGUAGUC
rnacentral:rRNA from 1 species